rnacentral:piRNA from 1 species
UGGAAGUGUGCUCUUAAAGAAACCUGUAAGA